UAAGGAAUAUUGGUCAAUGGACGCAAGUCCGAACCAGCCAUGCCGCGUGAAGGAUGAAGGUCCUCUGGAUUGUAAACUUCUUUUAUCUGGGACGAAAACGGGAUUUUUAUCUCAAUUGACGGUACCAGAGGAAUAAGCACCGGCUAACUCCGUGCCAGCAGCCGCGGUAAUACGGAGGGUGCGAGCGUUAUCCGGAUUUACUGGGUUUAAAGGGUGCGUAGGUGGGCUUAUAAGUCAGUGGUGAAAUCUCCGAGCUUAACUUGGAAACUGCCGUUGAUACUAUAGGUCUUGAAUUAUCUGGAGGUAAGCGGAAUAUGUCAUGUAGCGGUGAAAUGCUUAGAUAUGACAUAGAACACCAAUUGCGAAGGCAGCUUACUACAUAUAAAUUGACGCUGAGGCACGAAAGCGUGGGGAUCAAACA
rnacentral:rRNA from 1 species